CAAUAGCGUAUAUUAAAGUUGUUGCAGUUAGAACGCUCGUAGUCGGAUUUCGGGGCGGGCCGACCGGUCUGCCGAUGGGUACGCACUGGUCGGCGCGUCCUUCCUUCCGGAGACCGUGCCUACUCUUAACUGAGCGGGGGCGGGGGACGGAACGUUUACUUUGAAAAAAUCAGAGUGUUUCAAGCAGGCAGUGCGCUCUUGCAUGGAUUAGCAUGGGAUAAUGAAAUAGGACUUUGGUGCUAUUUUGUUGGUUUCGAACACCGAAGUAAUGAUUAAAAGGGACAGUCAGGGGCACUCGUAUUCCGCCGAGAGAGGUGAAAUUCUCAGACCAGCGGAAGACGAACCACUGCGAAAGCAUUUGCCAGGGAUGUUUUCACUG
rnacentral:rRNA from 1 species